rnacentral:rRNA from 1 species
GAUUAAGUUAUUAAGGGCGCACGGUGGAUGCCUUGGCACUAGAAGCCGAUGAAGGACGUUACUAACGACGAUAUGCUUUGGGGAGCUGUAAGUAAGCUUUGAUCCAGAGAUUUCCGAAUGGGGAAACCCAGCAUGAGUUAUGUCAUGUUAUCGAUAUGUGAAUACAUAGCAUAUCAGAAGGCACACCCGGAGAACUGAAACAUCUUAGUACCCGGAGGAAGAGAAAGAAAAUUCGAUUCCCUUAGUAGCGGCGAGCGAAUCGGGAAGAGCCCAAACCAACAAGCUUGCUUGUUGGGGUUGUAGGACACUCUAUACGGAGUUACAAAGGACGACAUUAGACGAAUCAUCUGGAAAGAUGAAUCAAAGAAGGUAAUAAUCCUGUAGUCGAAAAUGUUGUCUCUCUUGAGUGGAUCCUGAGUACGACGGAGCACGUGAAAUUCCGUCGGAAUCUGGGAGGACCAUCUCCUAAGGCUAAAUACUCUCUAGUGACCGAUAGUGAACCAGUACCGUGAGGGAAAGGUGAAAAGCACCCCGGAAGGGGAGUGAAAUAGAACCUGAAACCGUGUGCUUACAAGUAGUCAGAGCCCGUUAAUGGGUGAUGGCGUGCCUUUUGUAGAAUGAACCGGCGAGUUACGAUUUGAUGCAAGGUUAAGCAGUAAAUGUGGAGCCGUAGCGAAAGCGAGUCUGAAUAGGGCGUUUAGUAUUUGGUCGUAGACCCGAAACCAGGUGAUCUACCCUUGGUCAGGUUGAAGUUCAGGUAACACUGAAUGGAGGACCGAACCGACUUACGUUGAAAAGUGAGCGGAUGAACUGAGGGUAGCGGAGAAAUUCCAAUCGAACCUGGAGAUAGCUGGUUCUCUCCGAAAUAGCUUUAGGGCUAGCCUCAAGUGAUGAUUAUUGGAGGUAGAGCACUGUUUGGACGAGGGGCCCCUCUCGGGUUACCGAAUUCAGACAAACUCCGAAUGCCAAUUAAUUUAACUUGGGAGUCAGAACAUGGGUGAUAAGGUCCGUGUUCGAAAGGGAAACAGCCCAGACCACCAGCUAAGGUCCCAAAAUAUAUGUUAAGUGGAAAAGGAUGUGGCGUUGCCCAGACAACUAGGAUGUUGGCUUAGAAGCAGCCAUCAUUUAAAGAGUGCGUAAUAGCUCACUAGUCGAGUGACACUGCGCCGAAAAUGUACCGGGGCUAAACAUAUUACCGAAGCUGUGGAUUGUCCUUUGGACAAUGGUAGGAGAGCGUUCUAAGGGCGUUGAAGCAUGAUCGUAAGGACAUGUGGAGCGCUUAGAAGUGAGAAUGCCGGUGUGAGUAGCGAAAGACGGGUGAGAAUCCCGUCCACCGAUUGACUAAGGUUUCCAGAGGAAGGCUCGUCCGCUCUGGGUUAGUCGGGUCCUAAGCUGAGGCCGACAGGCGUAGGCGAUGGAUAACAGGUUGAUAUUCCUGUACCACCUAUAAUCGUUUUAAUCGAUGGGGGGACGCAGUAGGAUAGGCGAAGCGUGCGAUUGGAUUGCACGUCUAAGCAGUAAGGCUGAGUAUUAGGCAAAUCCGGUACUCGUUAAGGCUGAGCUGUGAUGGGGAGAAGACAUUGUGUCUUCGAGUCGUUGAUUUCACACUGCCGAGAAAAGCCUCUAGAUAGAAAAUAGGUGCCCGUACCGCAAACCGACACAGGUAGUCAAGAUGAGAAUUCUAAGGUGAGCGAGCGAACUCUCGUUAAGGAACUCGGCAAAAUGACCCCGUAACUUCGGGAGAAGGGGUGCUCUUUAGGGUUAACGCCCAGAAGAGCCGCAGUGAAUAGGCCCAAGCGACUGUUUAUCAAAAACACAGGUCUCUGCUAAACCGUAAGGUGAUGUAUAGGGGCUGACGCCUGCCCGGUGCUGGAAGGUUAAGAGGAGUGGUUAGCUUCUGCGAAGCUACGAAUCGAAGCCCCAGUAAACGGCGGCCGUAACUAUAACGGUCCUAAGGUAGCGAAAUUCCUUGUCGGGUAAGUUCCGACCCGCACGAAAGGCGUAACGAUUUGGGCACUGUCUCAACGAGAGACUCGGUGAAAUCAUAGUACCUGUGAAGAUGCAGGUUACCCGCGACAGGACGGAAAGACCCCGUGGAGCUUUACUGUAGCCUGAUAUUGAAAUUCGGCACAGCUUGUACAGGAUAGGUAGGAGCCUUUGAAACGUGAGCGCUAGCUUACGUGGAGGCGCUGGUGGGAUACUACCCUAGCUGUGUUGGCUUUCUAACCCGCACCACUUAUCGUGGUGGGAGACAGUGUCAGGCGGGCAGUUUGACUGGGGCGGUCGCCUCCUAAAAGGUAACGGAGGCGCUCAAAGGUUCCCUCAGAAUGGUUGGAAAUCAUUCAUAGAGUGUAAAGGCAUAAGGGAGCUUGACUGCGAGACCUACAAGUCGAGCAGGGUCGAAAGACGGACUUAGUGAUCCGGUGGUUCCGCAUGGAAGGGCCAUCGCUCAACGGAUAAAAGCUACCCCGGGGAUAACAGGCUUAUCUCCCCCAAGAGUUCACAUCGACGGGGAGGUUUGGCACCUCGAUGUCGGCUCAUCGCAUCCUGGGGCUGUAGUCGGUCCCAAGGGUUGGGCUGUUCGCCCAUUAAAGCGGUACGCGAGCUGGGUUCAGAACGUCGUGAGACAGUUCGGUCCCUAUCCGUCGUGGGCGUAGGAAAUUUGAGAGGAGCUGUCCUUAGUACGAGAGGACCGGGAUGGACAUACCUCUGGUGUACCAGUUGUCGUGCCAACGGCAUAGCUGGGUAGCUAUGUGUGGACGGGAUAAGUGCUGAAAGCAUCUAAGCAUGAAGCCCCCCUCAAGAUGAGAUUUCCCAACUUCGGUUAUAAGAUCCCUCAAAGAUGAUGAGGUUAAUAGGUUCGAGGUGGAAGCAUGGUGACAUGUGGAGCUGACGAAUACUAAUCGAUCGAAGACUUAAUCAA